rnacentral:miRNA from 1 species
AAAGAUGCCAGCCCAUGCCCAG